GGCGACGUAGCUCAGCCGGUAGAGCAGCGGUUUCGUAAACCGCAGGUCGUCGGUUCAAGUCCGCCCUUGCGA
rnacentral:tRNA from 1 species